rnacentral:rRNA from 1 species
UACGAAGGGGGCUAGCGUUGCUCGGAAUCACUGGGCGUAAAGCGCGCGUAGGCGGCCCUGUAAGUCCGCUGUAAAAGUCAAAGGCUCAACCUUUGAAAGCCGGUGGAUACUGCAGGGCUAGAGUCCGGAAGAGGCGAGUGGAAUUCCUGGUGUAGCGGUGGAAUGCGCAGAUAUCAGGAGGAACACCAAUAGCGAAGGCAGCUCGCUGGGACGGUACUGACGCUAAGGCGCGAAAGCGUGGGGAGCGAACAGG